rnacentral:tRNA from 8 species
GGCCAGGUAGCUCAGUUGGUAGAGCAGCGGACUGAAAAUCCGCGUGUCGUUGGUUCGAUUCCGACCCUGGCCACCA